AGAGUUUGAUCCUGGCUCAGAGCGAACGUAGCGGCGGGCUUAACACAUGCAAGUCGAACGAGAAUGAGGGGGCAACUCCUCUAGUAAAGUGGCGGACGGGUGCGUAACACGUGGGUAAUCUACCUUUCGGCGUGGGACAACAGACCUAACGGACUGCUAAUACCACAUACGUCGGCGGGGACUCCGGUCCCUGUCGGGAAAGAUGGCCUCUCCCUGGAAGCUGUCACCGGAAGAUGAACCCGCGGCCCAUCAGCUAGUUGGUGAGGUAACGGCUCACCAAGGCUAAGACGGGUAGCUGGUCUGAGAGGAUGAUCAGCCACACUGGGACUGCGACACGGCCCAGACUCCUACGGGAGGCAGCAGUGGGGAAUAUUGGGCAAUGGGCGAAAGCCU
rnacentral:rRNA from 1 species